GUUCGCUAAAAUGGGUUCCACUAGUAUUAUUUACCUAGUACAUCAGUCCUUACUACAUGCAUUAGCAAGGAGAUAAAAGAAAAGUCAGUAUUAGUGACAUCAAUUG
rnacentral:lncRNA from 1 species